rnacentral:rRNA from 1 species
AGAGUUUGAUCCUGGCUCACGAUAAACGCUGGCGGCAUGCCUAAUACAUGCAAGUGGAACGAGUCAUUUCGGUGAUUCGUCGCGAACGGGUGAGUAACACGUAGAUAACCUACCUAGUAGAGGGGAUAACCAUUGGAAACGAUGGAUAAUACCGCAUAGAUACUCCUUAGGCAUCUAAGGAAGUAGAAAGGAGCAAUUGCUCCGCUAGUAGAUGGAUCUGCGGCGCAUUAGCUAGUUGGUGAGGUAACGGCCCACCAAGGCGAUGAUGCGUAGCCGGCCUGAGAGGGUGAACGGCCACAUUGGGACUGAGACACGGCCCAGACUCCUACGGGAGGCAGCAGUAGGGAAUUUUCGGCAAUGGGGGGAACCCUGACCGAGCAAUGCCGCGUGAAGGAAGAAGGUUUCCGGAUUGUAAACUUCUGUUGUAUAGGAAGGAUAGUAUAUGGAGUGGAAAGCCAUAUAUGUGACGGUACUAUACUAGAAAGCCACGGCUAACUACGUGCCAGCAGCCGCGGUAAUACGUAGGUGGCAAGCGUUAUCCGGAAUUAUUGGGCGUAAAGAGUGAGCAGGCGGUUAAGAAAGUCUAAGAUCAAAAGCUAUUGCUUAACGAUAGUUUGUUUUAGAAACUCCUUGACUAGAGUACGGUAGAGGUAAGCGGAAUCCAUGUGUAGCGGUGAAAUGCGCAGAUAUAUGGAGGAACACCAGUGGCGAAGGCGGCUUACUAGACCGGGACUGACGCUGAGUCACGAAAGCGUGGGUAGCAAAUAGGAUUAGAUACCCUAGUAGUCCACGCUGUAAACGAUGAGUACUAAGUGUUGGAGAAAUUCAGUGCUGAAGCACACGCAUUAAGUACUCCGCCUGAGAAGUACGUUCGCAAGAAUGAAACUUAAAGGAAUUGACGGGGGCCCGCACAAGCGGUGGAGCAUGUGGUUUAAUUCGACGCAACACGAAGAACCUUACCAGGACUUGACAUCCGAUUAAAGACUCUAGAGAUAGAGGGAUAGUUAUAGUCGAGACAGGUGGUGCAUGGUUGUCGUCAGCUCGUGUCGUGAGAUGUUUGGUUAAGUCCAGCAACGAGCGCAACCCUUGUUCUCAGUUACCAUCAUUAAGUUGGGGACUCUGAGAAGACUGCCGAUGUAAAUCGGAGGAAGGUAGGGAUGACGUCAAAUCAUCAUGCCCCUUACGUCCUGGGCUACACACGUGCUACAAUGGACGGUACAAAGAGAAGCAAGACAGUGAUGUGGAGCAAACCUCAAAAAGCCGUUCUCAGUUCGGAUUGAAGUCUGCAACUCGACUUCAUGAAGCCGGAAUCGCUAGUAAUCGCGAAUCAGCAAAGUCGCGGUGAAUACGUUCCCGGGCC